rnacentral:SRP_RNA from 1 species
CGGCUGGUCCCUCGCAACGAAAAGCUGUGAACCCCGUCAGGCCCGGAAGGGAGCAGCGGCAGCAGUGUCAUCGGGUGCCGAGGAUCCACUGGCCGGGU